rnacentral:lncRNA from 1 species
UUUAAAUUUAGAAUGCACUUUUUGGGGAAAGGAAAUGAAAACACCUCAUGAUCAUGAAAUGAUGCUUCCUUCUUUUGUUUUCAAGUGAGGCUGAUAAUGAUAGUCAUACAUCCUGUUUCCAUGAAGUCAGCCAUAGGAAUGAACAAGGCAAUUAGGAAUCAUGUCAGUGUUGCUUCAUCUUCAUUUUAAUAAAGAGACUACUAUAAAAGCAGUUAUAAGUUCACAGAAAAAGCUGAACUCCUGGGAGGUAGAAUUGACUGGAAAUUCGUCGGGACAUGGGAAGCGCAAGAGGUUAGUGAUUUCCAGGGCAGCCCGGUGGAGCAGAGGGCUGGGAGGGGUCUGCGGUAGGGACCAGAUCAUGCUCCGCUCUAAGAUGCACAGAGCCACCCUCCCCUGCGACAAAUACCAGCUGCAUGAAAGCAGUAGAGAAUCGAGGCAAACAUACUCUCCUUGUUUUAGACAGAGGCCUUUUCUUUGCCUCGUAGGCUCAGGAAUUUGGCGAGGAGAAGUAUCCCUCUUCACACAGCAGUCUGCCAGCUGUCAGCAGCUCCUGACAUGA